rnacentral:rRNA from 1 species
GAUGAACGCUGGCAGCGUGCCUAACACAUGCAAGUCGAGCGAAGCGCUUAAAUUAGAUUUCUUCGGAAUGACGAUUUUUGUGACUGAGCGGCGGACGGGUGAGUAACGCGUGGGUAACCUGCCUCAUACAGGGGGAUAACAGUUAGAAAUGACUGCUAAUACCGCAUAAGACCCCAGCUUCGCAUGAAGCGGUGGUAAAAACUCCGGUGGUAUGAGAUGGACCCGCGUCGGAUUAGCUAGUUGGUAAGGUAACGGCUUACCAAGGCGACGAUCAGUAGCCGACAUGAGAGGGUGACCGGCCAGAUUGGGAAUGAGACACGGCCCAGAAUCCUACGGGAGGCAGCAGUGGGGAAUAUUGCACAAUGGGGGAAAACCUGAUGAAGCGACGCCGCGUGAAGGAUGAAGUAUUUCGGAAUGUAAACUUCUAUCAGCAGAGAAGAAAGUGACGGUACCUGACUAAGAAGCCCCGGCUAACUACGUG